ACAAGGUUUCCGUAGGUGAACCUGCGGAGGGAUCAUUGAAACCGAUCAAACCAAUCACAGAGCACCUGCGGGCGCUCGCUCCCCUCGGGGGGCGAGGGCCCGCCGUUUACAGGAUCCGCCGGCGCGUGAGCUCCCCUCGGGGGGCGACCGCGCCGGGCCGGAGCCCUAACCCAUUGAACCCUCUGCCCUGAAGCAGCUUCGCACGGGGACACCCCUGCGAUAGUAACUGAGACAACUCACAACAACGGAUAUCUUGGCUCUCGCAACGAUGAAGAACGCAGCGAAAUGCGAUACGUAGUGUGAAUUGCAGAAUUCCGUGAGUCAUCGAAUCUUUGAACGCACAUUGCCGGUCGACUCUUCGGAGGAGACCACAUCUGCCUCAGCGUCGGAAUACCCCCUCACGCACCCCCGCGUGGACCUGGCCCCCCCGGACGCCUCGGCGCCCGGGCCGGCUGAAAUGCAGAGGCUCGUGCGCGGCCCAUUCGUGGCCCCGACUAGGUAGGUAGCUCGCUACUUCUAGGCGGUGGCUCGGUGUCGCGUGCUGUGGGCCCGAAAGGAUACCAAUCCAUUCAUUCGACCUGAGUUCAGGUGAGGCUACCCGCUGAACUUAAGCAUAUCAAUAAGCGGAGGAUAAGAAACUAAA
rnacentral:rRNA from 1 species